AGAGUAAUAGCUCAGUGGCAGAGCACAUGCUUAGCUAGCAUGCACAAGGUCCUGGGUUCAGUCCCCAGUACCUCCA
rnacentral:tRNA from 1 species